CGGGCUUGAACUGUGGCGGAACGAUUCGGAGAUAAUGACGCCCUUCGGGGCCUCUGUGAAGGUGCUGCAUGGUUGUCGUCAGCUCGUGCCGUGAGGUGUCGGCUUAAGAGCCAUAACGAGCGCAACCCCUCUCUUCAGUUGCCAUCAGGUUAAGCUGGGCACUCUGGAGACACUGCCACCGUAAGGUGUGAGGAAGGUGGGGAUGACGUCAAAUCAGCACGGCCCUUACGUCCGGGGCUACACACGUGUUACAAUGGCCGGUACAGAGGGACGGUGUAAUGCAAAUUGCAUCAAAUCUUGAAAGCCGGUCCCAGUUCGGACUGGGGUCUGCAACCCGACCCCACGAAGCUGGAUUCGCUAGUAAUCGCGCAUCAGCCAUGGCGCGGUGAAUACGUUCCCGGGCC
rnacentral:rRNA from 1 species